CAAUAAGCGGAGGAAAAGAAACCAACAGGGAUUACCUCAGUAACGGCGAGUGAAGCGGUAACAGCUCAAAUUUGAAAUCUGGCUCUUUCAGGGUCCGAGUUGUAAUUUGUAGAAGAUGCUUCGGGUGUGGCUCCGGUCUAAGUUCCUUGGAACAGGACGUCAUAGAGGGUGAGAAUCCCGUAUGUGACUGGUUGCCUUCGCCCAUGUGAAGCUCUUUCGACGAGUCGAGUUGUUUGGGAAUGCAGCUCUAAAUGGGAGGUAAAUUUCUUCUAAAGCUAAAUAUUGGCCAGAGACCGAUAGCGCACAAGUAGAGUGAUCGAAAGAUGAAAAGCACUUUGGAAAGAGAGUUAAACAGUACGUGAAAUUGUUGAAAGGGAAGCGCUUGCAACCAGACUUGCCUGCCGUCGAUCAUCCUCCGUUCUCGGUGGUGCACUCGGCGGUGGUCAGGCCAGCAUCGGUUUUGGUGGUGGGAUAAAGACCUUAGGAAUGUGGCUCCUCUCGGGGAGUGUUAUAGCCUUCGGUGCAAUGCCGCCUACUGGGACCGAGGACCGCGCUUCGGCUAGGAUGCUGGCGUAAUGGUUGUAAGCGACCC
rnacentral:rRNA from 1 species